rnacentral:rRNA from 1 species
UACGUAGGGUGCAAGCGUUGUCCGGAAUUAUUGGGCGUAAAGAGCUCGUAGGCGGUUCGUCACGUCGGCUGUGAAAUCCCGAGGCUCAACCUCGGGUCUGCAGUCGAUACGGGCGGACUGGAGUACUGCAGGGGAGACUGGAAUUCCUGGUGUAGCGGUGAAAUGCGCAGAUAUCAGGAGGAACACCGGUGGCGAAGGCGGGUCUCUGGGCCGUAACUGACGCUGAGGAGCGAAAGCGUGGGGAGCAAACAGG